GACGAACGCUGGCGGCGUGCCUAAUACAUGCAAGUAGAACGCUGAAGGAGGAGCUUGCUUCUCUGGAUGAGUUGCGAACGGGUGAGUAACGCGUAGGUAACCUGCCUGGUAGCGGGGGAUAACUAUUGGAAACGAUAGCUAAUACCGCAUAACAGUAGAUGUUGCAUGACAUUUGCUUAAAAGGUGCAAUUGCAUCACUACCAGAUGGACCUGCGUUGUAUUAGCUAGUUGGUGGGGUAACGGCUCACCAAGGCGACGAUACAUAGCCGACCUGAGAGGGUGAUCGGCCACACUGGGACUGAGACACGGCCCAGACUCCUACGGGAGGCAGCAGUAGGGAAUCUUCGGCAAUGGACGGAAGUCUGACCGAGCAACGCCGCGUGAGUGAAGAAGGUUUUCGGAUCGUAAAGCUCUGUUGUAAGAGAAGAACGAGUGUGAGAGUGGAAAGUUCACACUGUGACGUAUCUACCA
rnacentral:rRNA from 1 species